rnacentral:tmRNA from 1 species
GGGGGCGUCACGGCUUCGACGGAAGUGAUUGCGGUAAAGAGGCAUACCGGAGUGCGUGCAUCCGUAAUCGUGCGCAAAAACACAAUUGCCAAUCAAAACCUGGCAUACGCAGCUUAAUUAAUUAAGUUGCCGUCUUCCUCGGCUUUGCUCACGGGCCGAGAGCAGGCGUCGCACAGUGAGCUGGCUGCGAACUCUCCGCCUGUGAGUUCGUGGCGAGAUCAUCAGGCUGGCCGUCCGCGUUUCUUGUCCGUUCUGAGCGUGGAAGGCGAGAGUGCCGUCUAACAGCGGCGCGGGAACGCGACUAAGUAUGUAGUCUCUUUGCUGGCAGCAUUUUCGGACGCGGGUUCAACUCCCGCCGCCUCCACCA